rnacentral:rRNA from 1 species
AGCGAACGCUGGCGGCAGGCUUAACACAUGCAAGUCGAGCGGGCACUUCGGUGUCAGCGGCAGACGGGUGAGUAACACGUGGGAACGUGCCCUUCGGUUCGGAAUAACUCAGGGAAACUUGAGCUAAUACCGGAUACGCCCUUUGGGUAAGGUUUACUGCCGAAGGAUCGGCCCGCGUCUGAUUAGCUAGUUGGUGGGGUAAGUGGCCUACCAAGGCGACGAUCAGUAGCUGGUCUGAGAGGAUGAUCAGCCACACUGGGAC